rnacentral:rRNA from 1 species
ACACAUGCAAGUCGAGGGGGAACGGCAUUGAGUGCUUGCACUCUUUGGACGUCGACCGGCGCACGGGUGAGUAACGCGUAUCCAACCUUCCCAUUACUGUGGGAUAACCUGCCGAAGGGCAGACUAAUACCGCAUAGUCUUCGAUGACGGCAUCAGAUUUGAAGUAAAGAUUUAUCGGUAAUGGAUGGGGAUGCGUCUGAUUAGCUUGUUGGCGGGGUAACGGCCCACCAAGGCAACGAUCAGUAGGGGUUCUGAGAGGAAGGUCCCCCACAUUGGAACUGAGACACGGUCCAAACUCCUACGGGAGGCAGCAGUGAGGAAUAUUGGUCAAUGGACGGAAGUCUGAACCAGCCAAGUAGCGUGCAGGAUGACGGCCCUAUGGGUUGUAAACUGCUUUUGUAUGGGGAUAAAGUUAGGGACGUGUCCCUAUUUGCAGGUACCAUACGAAUAAGGACCGGCUAAUUCCGUGCCAGCAGCCGCGGUAAUACGGAAGGUCCAGGC